rnacentral:tRNA from 1 species
AGGGGCUUAGGAUAGUUCCUUAGACCGAGAGCCUUCAAAGCCCUAAGCGGGGGUGGAAGCCCCCCAGCCCCUG